rnacentral:rRNA from 1 species
UGGUAUGACGGUUUAACAAAAAUUUUGUUUAUAAAGAUAAAAUAAAAUUUUAAAUAGUGGUUAAAAUUCUACUGUAUUUUUGAGGGACGAUAAGACCCUAAAAGCUUUAUUUAUUCUUAUUUACUAUUAUUUAAUUUUAUAUAAGCUAGUAAGAUUAAUGUUUAGCUGGGGUAGCUAGAGUUUAUAAAUAACUUUUUAAAAAACAACUGGUUAAUGAUCCUUUAUAUAUGGAUAUAAUGUAAAAGUUACUUUAGGGGUAACAGGGUGAUAAUUUUAGAUAGGUCUUAUUGAUGGAAAUUGUUUGCUACCUCGAUGUUGAAUUAGAAUUUUUUUACUUUGCAGUAGUAGUAUUAAAUAGUUUGUUCAACUAUUAAUUUUUUACAUGAUUU